GAGGAGGGGUAGCUUGGGGAAGAAAAUGGGCUUGUUCUUGAUGUCAGUCUCAGAUGUUUCCCCCACAGUAAAAUGUUAUCUUCCCUGUUCCUAUCUCAGAGUAUGUUGAUUGAAACUCUGUCCCCGCACGUAGCUCAUUCUGCCCAGGAGCUAGUAGCUCUAAUCCUGCUAGAUUAAGAGGACUUUGAAAGCAAAGACUGUCAUGUGUUCAUAUAUGUAGUACCUGUAAAGCAUAUACUUAAUAUAUGCCCAUUAAAAUGAAUCUGAACUGUAUUAACAUCCUUAAACUUUUCAAGUUGAUAUUAAGAGGAAAACUCUUUUCUGAUGAAGAUAUCCGUAGUUCACUUCUCUGGUAAGUGGAGUUUCUCAUUCUUCUGUUUCCACCCAAACAGCUAUGGUUUAAGGCAAA